CACUGUUAAAAUACACCUACCAUUAAAAUUAUAAACUGAUCAUUUCUUUUCUAGUUGGCAAACGUUCAAAAUCAGCAGGGUAUCAAAUACUUAAAUUCCCUCACUGUAUGUACCCCAGAGACAAUAAUCCUUUUCAGUUUCUCAAGACUCCUUUUGCUUCAGCUCCCAUUCUUAAGUACCCUGACCCAUCCCUGCUGUUUAUCCAGGAGGUUGAUGCCUCGGAAGUGGGAGUAUUCUUUAUUGAUUUUCAAGAUUUAUAUGCAUAUAUAUAUUAAUAUCGUAGUGAACCAUAAAAUUGCACAUAGUACAAGACGUACAACAUAAAGACAAAUAUAAUGAACAUAGAUUCAGUUAAAGUUAAGAAUAAAUUAAACAUGUGGAGAAUAUAAUUUAUCCAUCUUAAUGCUGGUCACCUAAGAAUCUGAACUCCCAGGUUAUAGCAUUGCAUCCAAUACCUUUAUCCAAUUAUCUCAUAUCUUAUAUUUUUCAUGAUUAAAACACAUACUAGACACAGUUGCACAUUCUAUUUUGCACUGGACUUUAAUAAACUCUUUCAUUUGUGGCAACGAGUUAAUCUUAUGUGUUUUCCAGUUUUUAGCACUUGAGCUUUUACAAGCCAUUAGAGUGUUUAUCAAAAGACACUUUUUUAUUUUUAGGUUAUCGUGGUAAAUUCAAGUGCAAUAUUGCCACCUCAAUCGUGCAGACCUUUUUCAGGCCCAAAGGAUUUUUAACAUAAAAGAAAAGUAUAUCCCAGCCUAUUUUUAGUGGAGGCAGUCCUGGACUGGCCAUCGGACAAACCAGCAAAUGCCUGAUGAGCCACGAUGGCCAUGGACCGAUGCCAACAAGGAAGAUCAAGGUAUCUCCCCUGCCAGCUCAUGCAGUGCCUGUCAGGAUUACUGUUUGAUCCAGCACGUAGAACUGUACAGCACGGAUGACAAAUAAGUAAAGUAUUACCGGUCCUUAGAAUGGCCGG